rnacentral:rRNA from 1 species
GACAGAGGGUGCAAACGUUGCUCGGAAUCACUGGGCGUAAAGCGUGCGCAGGCGGUCUUGCAAGUCAGAAGUGAAAUCCCGGGGCUUAACCCCGGAAUUGCUUUUGAAACUGCAAGACUAGAAUAUGGGAGAGGUUAGCAGAAUUCCGAGUGUAGAGGUGAAAUUCGCAGAUAUUCGGAGGAAUACCAGUGGCGAAGGCGGCUAACUGGACCAUUAUUGACGCUCAGGCACGAAAGCGUGGGGAGCAAACAGG